GGUCCGCUGGCUCAAUGGCAGAGCGUCUGACUACGAUGCCUCAAGAGAUCACCAGAUCUCGAGAGCUCAAGUAAUCAGGAGGUUCCAGGUUCGACCCCUGGGUGGAUCG
rnacentral:tRNA from 1 species